rnacentral:lncRNA from 1 species
AUGAAAACCCCGCAGCAGCAGACGCUUCACGUCCACAGCCGCGAAUCACGGACUGUGGAAGAGAAGAUGGAGGUGGAUAAGGGGGUCGAGAUCCUGCAGUAUGCUUCUGAUAAGAAAUAUCACACACAUUACGAGAAGGACGGAACCCCUCCUCCACCACCACCUCUCCCGCCUCCGGUGGUCCCCACGACCCCGAGGCAGACGGCCACAGCGUCACUGCCACGCCCAACCCACGCCGCCAUCCCCAUCCCUCCUCACGAGGAGUCCCCGGCGAGCGCUGACCUUUCUACACAUGCAGAUGGUGAAGAUGCAGCAGGUCCUGCUCUGGUGGAGGCUGAACCGACUGAGGUCGUCCCCACCCCACCAGUGCAGGAGACGACACCCACGUCAACAUAUCUGCCCAGCAUGGACACUGACACACAGGGUCCUGCUCUGGUGGAGGCUGAACUGACUGAGGUCGUCCCCACCCCACCAGUGCAGGAGACGAGACCCACGUCAACACAUCUGCCCAGCAUGGACACUCAUAAACAGGGUUGCCCUGGUGACUGAUAAUGAGGGCGGGGCUGCGCUUUGCCUUGCCGCCCACCACACCCCGCUCCGCCUUCACUUCCGGUGUGAGAGACCAACGCAGCUUGCUGUUCGUCUUCAUUUUGUGUGUUGUUUCCCGUUUUUUCAUCAUUAUUCGUUUCACUUUUUUAAAAAAAAUGUAUAAAUCCAUUUUUCUUUUUUCAAGGUGUUGUAAUUUUUUUGUUAUUGCGUUGAUUUGUGUUGGCAGGUUCGUUCUUGUCGUAUCCUUAUACUGGCAUGUGACAGAUUCAGUCUGAACCAGCUUUAAUCCAACUGAAGUGGAGAUUUGUAAUCACAGUCGUACAUUUAUUAGCAAUAUUACUACUGUGUGGCUUGUGUGGUCCGCCAUUUGGGGACAAUCAUCCUGGUGAUCAGGAUGUCCUGAUUUAGUAGUUUUAGAUCCCGUGAAGUGGCAGUCAUUGUGAGACACUGCAGCGCAGCACACGGUGACACUCGUGUCCUCUGUAUUUAACCGUCACCCUUGGUGAGCAGUGGGCACCAUGACAGGCCCCCGGGGAGCAGCGUGUGGGGACGGGACCUUCAUCGGGACCUCCUAUGAUGAUGGAAAUUGCAUCUGUACAAUAAUGCUUCUCAAAAUGUGAUCAUUUUAAGCUGCUGGUACGACACUUCAACAUUUAGGAUCUGGCAGAACUAGGAUCUUCACAAUAAACACCACGUGUCCUGCUCUUCA